GAGUCUGCCAAAGCCUUGCCUUCAGGACCUGCUCUCUGCCUCCAGUGGCUGAGUGCCCUUUGCGGAGCAAGGAGGAAUUCUGGUGCCAGGUGCAUUCCCGCUCCUAGGCGCUAAGGUGCCCCGAAGACUGUUGCCACCCACACAGCCCCUCGGAAAUGCCACACUCCGAAAGAGAUCGCAGAUUAGCGUUUGUGAGCACUGACCAUGAUGGGCAGACAGGAAGUGACCAGAAGCAGAGUCGCCCAUGUGAGGGACUUGUGACGGUGUAGACCCAGUUCUACCUCAGUCCAUCCAAACUGGAGCCUCCUUUCUGCCAGCACUCCCCACGCCCCACCUCUACCUCCCAGGUAGUCUCUCCCAGCCACUCAACACCUAGAAACUGGUCUCUGCCUUCCCUUGGGGACAUCUGGGAACACUGGAUUGGGAAGGAAGAACCAACAGGUGGCUGGCAUCAUGAGUAGGGGGAGGGCAGAGAUAACAGAGAGAGGGUGACAGCGAUGAGGGCACGCAGACUGCUGGGCCAGACAAUCUCAGUUCAUUCCCAAUGGUGGCCAUUGGCGACCUGUCUUAACUCACACAACCCCCAAACUUGACCCUUGGCUUUGAGUGGGUCCAACCGCAAAGCAUGAAAGUGCUUCUCUGAAGCCACAGGGGGCUUGUUCACCUACAAGGAAUCCUCAGAGAAAAGAUCCUGCAUCUCCCAGAUUAGCCUCCUUCCCACCCUUCCUGCGUCCUCACUUGACUAUUGAUUGGCACAGUUGGCUAACCAGAUAUCAUCACUGUGAGAAGAGGGAGACCCUGGUCAUAGCGAUUCCAUGUCCUAGAAUUCCAUGGACCUGGGUGACAACCCUGUUUAAGAGCUGGGGGAAUAUUCAUUCCUCAUGGCUCAUGUUUCAUGCUGGGGGAAUAUUCAUUCCUCAUGGACUCUCCAUUUCCAUGAGUGACGAUAUAGAGAAAGCCCAUUCUCCUCUUUUUCUCCUUCCCCCUUGUGUCCUCCGUGGAAGAUGAAUGAUUUAACCUUUUGGUAGAUUGGAAGGGAGGAUGUAAGAAAGCUCACACUGGACCUUCUGGGUUAGCCUGAACUCAGAAUAUCUGUUCUCUGAGGUAAGUUUACAGGAGUCAGCUCUGUCCUGGCAGAGGGGUCCCACAGACACCCCCAUCUGCCCAGGAAAUGCAUAGCUCCUCAAGCUUCACAACGUGGCUUCAGCAAAUGAACCCAGAAGCCUAAAUUCUAUGCAUUAUUUUCCCCUUAGUUUUAAGCUUUGCUCCUAUAUGGAAGACGGUGAGAGUUAACCUAUCUGUUCUGAGUUUGAACCUGGUCCUAGCUAUGGGAACUGUUUGGGGAGAAUGUGAAGUCCUUAAGAAGUGGCAUCUGGGUAGUGGUAAAGGGUCGCUGGGGGCAGGCUCUCGGAGGGGUAGCCCAGGCCCAAUUCUGGUCUAGCAAUCUUGGCUUCCUGAUACUCUGUGAUGCGAGUAGCAUCACACACACACCCCUCUCUAUCCCAUGGAACAUUGAAACCUCCACAAACCAUUUGCCUGAAUGAACCUUUCUUCCCCUGAGUUGCUUCUGUCACAGGGUUGAAAAAAGUGACUAAGUUUCAACAUGGCAACCUAUGAAAUCAAGACCUCUAAUGAACCUGGCCUGGCAUUUUCCAGGCUCUUCUCCUGGAAGUCUUAUGGGAAUCUCUUGGGCAAAUGGGUACAUCUUUUAGCUCUGCAAUUGGAAGGAUCCUCCUUGUGUGAUGAAAUUGUCCCAGCAAGACCUUGGUUCCAGACAUGAAACCUGCUCAUCAGGACCUUCCUACUUAUUUAGUUUCUCCCAGGGAAUGGGAGAGAAUAAUUUAGCUGGAACCUCACUUUGGCCCCCACACCCUCACAGCAUCUCCAGAUCCUGAGAGUUUUCUCUCCCAGGAGCCUCUGCGGAGUUCACAUACUUUACUUGCGCUUCUGCUUGCAUAAAGAUGAACUCCCACUUCCGGGCAAAGGCCCUCUGGAGUCUUGCUAAGUUUUCCUGGUGGGAAAUAAAAAUCAAUAAGGCAGU
rnacentral:lncRNA from 1 species